rnacentral:misc_RNA from 1 species
AAGUCGUAACAAGGUUUCCGUAGGUGAACCUGCGGAAGGAUCAUUAUUACGUAUCCACGUAUCAACCCAAUCGUGAACUGUUUCCCGUCUGAUGAGGAUUUCUGCGACUUCAAACAAAAACACAAAUGCAUGUUUGGACUGAAGGGUAGGCGCGCAAGUUCCUUCUUCAGUAACUGUUUGGUCGGUCCUAGCUGUCAACACGGAUCUUGCAUCUGUGCAACGGCUGCUAGCUCAACAGAUGUGGUUUUUCUCCACUCAUGCGCUCAAUUAACCCCUUGUACAAACAAAUUGAACUAAACAAUCGCUACCUGAUAAAAAAGGGUGGUGAACAACUGAAAUUAAGAAACAACUCUUAACAACGGAUAUCUUGGUUCUC